rnacentral:rRNA from 1 species
GAUGAACGCUGGCGGCGUGCCUAAUACAUGCAAGUCGAGCGAACGGACGAGAAGCUUGCUUCUCUGAUGUUAGCGGCGGACGGGUGAGUAACACGUGGAUAACCUACCUAUCAGACUGGGAUAACUUCGGGAAACCGGAGCUAAUACCGUAUAAUAUUUUGAACCGCAUGGUUCAAAAGUGAAAGACGGUCUUGCUGUCACUUAUAGAUGGAUCCGCGCUGCAUUAGCUAGUUGGUAAGGUAACGGCUUACCAAGGGAACGAUGCAUAGCCGACCUGAGAGGGUGAUCGGCCACACUGGAACUGAGACACGGUCCAGACUCCUACGGGAGGCAGCAGUAGGGAAUCUUCCGCAAUGGGCGAAAGCCUGACGGAGCAACGCCGCGUGAGUGAUGAAGGUCUUCGGAUCGUAAAACUCUGUUAUUAGGGAAGAACAUAUGUGUAAGUAACUGUGCACAUCUUGACGGUACCUAAUCAGAAAGCCACGGCUAACUACGUG